rnacentral:rRNA from 1 species
AGAGUUUGAUCCUGGCUCAGAGUCAACGCUGGCGGCGUGCCUAACACAUGCAAGUCGAACGCGAAAGGGACUUCGGUCCUGAGUAGAGUGGCGAACGGGUGAGUAACGCGUGGGUGACCUACCCUCGAGUGGGGGAUAACGUUCCGAAAGGGACGCUAAUACCGCAUGACAUUCUGGGUUUGAAGACCUGGAAAUCAAAGCCGGGGACCGUAAGGCCUGGCGCUCGAGGAGGGGCCCGCGUCUGAUUAGCUAGUUGGCGGGGUAAUGGCCCACCAAGGCGACGAUCAGUAGCCGGCCUGAGAGGGCGGACGGCCACACUGGGACUGAGACACGGCCCAGACUCCUACGGGAGGCAGCAGUGGGGAAUUGUUCGCAAUGGGCGCAAGCCUGACGACGCAACGCCGCGUGGAGGAUGAAGGUCUUCGGAUUGUAAACUCCUGUUGAUCGGGACGAAAAGCUUCAACCUAAUACGUUGGAGACUGACGGUACCGGUUGAGGAAGCCACGGCUAACUCUGUGCCAGCAGCCGCGGUAAUACAGAGGUGGCAGGCGUUGUUCGGAAUUACUGGGCGUAAAGGGCGCGUAGGCGGCCUUCUAAGUCGGACGUGAAAGCCCCAGGCUUAACCUGGGAACUGCGUCCGAUACUGGGAGGCUUGGAUUCGGGAGAGGGAUGUGGAAUUCCAGGUGUAGCGGUGAAAUGCGUAGAUAUCUGGAGGAACACCGGUGGCGAAGGCGGCAUCCUGGACCGAGAUCGACGCUGAGGCGCGAAAGCUAGGGGAGCAAACGGGAUUAGAUACCCCGGUAGUCCUAGCCCUAAACGAUGAAUGCUUGGUGUGGCGGGUAUCGAUCCCUGCCGUGCCGAAGCUAACGCAUUAAGCAUUCCGCCUGGGGAGUACGGUCGCAAGAUUAAAACUCAAAGGAAUUGACGGGGACCCGCACAAGCGGUGGAUGAUGUGGAUUAAUUCGAUGCAACGCGAAAAACCUUACCUACCCUUGACAUGUACGGAAGCCCGAUGAGAGUUGGGUGUGCCCGAAAGGGAGCCGUAACACAGGUGCUGCAUGGCUGUCGUCAGCUCGUGUCGUGAGAUGUUGGGUUAAGUCCCGCAACGAGCGCAACCCUUGUCAUUAGUUGCUACAUUCAGUUGGGCACUCUAAUGAGACUGCCGGUGACAAACCGGAGGAAGGUGGGGAUGACGUCAAGUCCUCAUGGCCCUUAUGGGUAGGGCCUCACACGUCAUACAAUGGCGGAUACAGAGGGUUGCCAACCCGCGAGGGGGAGCCAAUCCCAGAAAGUCCGUCGUAGUCCGGAUCGGAGUCUGCAACUCGACUCCGUGAAGUCGGAAUCGCUAGUAAUCGCGGAUCAGCAUGUCGCGGUGAAUACGUUCCCGGGUCUUGUACACACCGCCCGUCACACCAUGGGAGCGGGUUCUACCGGAAGUAGCUAGCCUAACCGCAAGGGGGGCGGUUACCACGGUAGGAUUCGUGACUGGGGUGAAGUCGUAACAAGGUAACCGUA